GACGAACGCUGGCGGCGUGGAUUAGGCAUGCAAGUCGAACGGUAGGAUACCUUCGGGUAUCUGAGAGUGGCGAACGGGUGAGUAACACGUAGGUGAUCUACCCUCAAGAUUGGGACAACCCAGGGAAACUUGGGCUAAUACCGGAUGAAAGCAGCAGUGAUGUUGUUUGAAAGGUGGCGUAAGCUGCCGUUUGGGGAUGAGCCUGCGCUCUAUUAGUUAGUUGGCGGGGUAAAGGCCCACCAAGGCGAUGAUAGAUAGGCGGCCUUAACGGGUGGUCGCCCACACUGGGAUUGAGAUACGGCCCAGACUCCUACGGGAGGCAGCAGUCGAGAAUAGUCUACAAUGGCCGAAAGGCUGAUAGUGCGACGCCGCGUUGAAACGAAGAAGCCCCUUGGGGUGUAAAGUUCUUUUAUAUGUGAGCAGUGCUUUCUAUGUGAACAGCAUGGGGAGAGAGAUAUUAGCAUAAUGAAUAAGCAACGGCUAACUCCGUGCCAGCAGCCG
rnacentral:rRNA from 1 species